AGCUUUACACAGUGGCAGUAUCAUAGCCAAUGAGGUUUAUCCGAGGCGUGAUUAUUGCUAAUUGGAACAGAAAUAGGCAGAGAUUCUUUUCCACUUUAUUUUGCUCAGGGUAAUUCCU
rnacentral:snRNA from 1 species